ensembl:lncRNA
AAAAAUUUCUCUUAAAAUCAGUUAAUAGAAGAAAGAGAAAAUCCUAUAUUUGUAGUAUCUUUUAUAAUUAUAUAGUUAUCAUGACCAUUGUUCUUUGUUCUUUUUUUUUUAAGAUUUUAUUAAUUUAUUCAUGAGAGACACACAGAGGGAGGCAGAGACACAGGCAGAGAGAGAAGCAAGCAAGCUCCAUGGGGGGAACCCAAUGCAGGACUUGAUCCCAGUACCCUGGGAUCACAACCCAAGCCAAAGGCAGACACUCAACCACUGAACCACCCAGGUGCCCCUGUUCUUUAUUUAUAUGGGUUCAAUUUACUGUUUGGGUCGUUUGCUUUUAGCCUAAAUAACUCCCUUUAAUGUUUCUUUUAAAAUAGGUCUGUUUUCAACAAAUUCUUUUGCUGGGCAUAGGAUUCUUGGUUGGUGGUUUUCUUUGUGUACUAGAAUGUCAACUGAUAACAUUACUGGGUUUCCCUUGAUGAUGAUAAGCCUGUUUCCAAGAGGCCAUAAUCAUAGAAGAGGUUUCCUCCUUUCCACGAAAGAGAGAGAAGACAUGACAGUGAGUAAAGGUACACAGGCCUGUCCAACAUCUUGGGCAAGUGUCUCGUCAGAUCUCAUCCACGUCAAUUCCAGGAAUUCUGUGCUCUCAGGUCACCAGAUGGUGCACAGUGCCAGUCGGGGUUUGCUGCUUUCAGAUGCAUCAUGCGAGUCCAAGAGUCUACGCUCUGGAGUGUGUCCGCACAAGGUUGGUGAGCAGAUCCUGAUAAGGGGUCUUUCCAGGGAGGUUGAAGAGUCUUUCUGGAGAUGUCUCUUCCAACAAACAAAAUCUCCAGAUUGCAAGGUGUGUGAUGCUUCAGGUCACUCUCCCUUGGGAACACUGGGGAGAGGGAUCUCCCUUUUUAUCAGCCGGUGGUCAGAGGAGCCAGGGAUCAAGGGGACUGGACACCCUGGGACUGUCUCAAAGUGUGAGAAUCUGUGUGUUCCCAAGGGGGUGGAGCCAAGGUAUUUGGAAUUCUUUACGAAUUUUGCCAGUUGAGUCCAAACAGUGCUGUUACUGCAUUUUAUUAACCCCGAGGAUUGAGCAUGGUGCACGAUGGAGGUAUUAGAAAGCCAGUCAGACUGUGCAGACGUCUUGAAGCACCUGACUGCUUCACCUAAAGUGGGCUCCCUGAUACCCAGAAAGUGUGAGAGGGUUCCCUAGGCAGGGGAUAAUUUUUUCUAACAGAAUUUUAACCACAGAAGAGGAGUUGGCCUGUCUACCAGAGCAAGCUUUGGUCCAAUGAGAGAGCAAAGGGAACAUGACUAAACCAUGUUUAAAUCCAUGAGAUGGGAAAGCUGUGUGAAGUCCAUUUGUAUGAACCGGCCCCCCUGCAUUUAUACUUUGGAAGGUGUGACGAACGAGGGGGGCAGUCGUGGGCUUUACUCUGUUUUCCCAUCAAUGUUGGUUCAUGAAUGCUUCCACUUUGUCAGGAGGCCAGUGGUUUAAUGCAUGUACAGUGGUAAGUAGUGGGAAUUUGAGAGUUUCUAGUUGGAUUAGUUUGUUAUUUGGUCUAAACCGGAGUUCUCUGGAUCCCAAAAUUAUUAGAUUUCCAAUUUGUUUUUCCUUUUCUGGGACCAGUUGUAAGGCAUCGCUUGUCAGUUUUUCCAAAUUAUCAUUUGGGAGAAUGUCUAUUUGGACCACGACAGAGGUUCGGCUUGAGAGCCGUGUUUUUGGCAGAAGUGUUAAUGGGGUUGUUUGCUUCAGCCUCUAGGGAGUCGAGUCUGGAACGCCGGGAACCUUCGUGGCAGCCAGAGAAGCCGGUAGAAGUGUAGUGUCUGAUAAGCUUUGGACACAGAAGCCCUUCUGUUAAGCCUUUUUGUUUUUAAACCCCCCAUUGCAGGGCUUGAGCUCACGACCCUGAGAUCAAAACCUGAGGUGAGAUCAGUAGUCAGAGGCCUAAUCGGCUAGGCCACCAGGCACCCCCAUCAGAGCCCAUUUUUAAUUUUAUCCCAUUGCAGGUGUUUUCCACAAUGUUUGAAGUCCUGAGCCGCUCAGAGGCAUACCAGCCACCAGACCUUUCUCCUAAGCUAAGGCACAAGCCCAGGUAACAACAGCAGGCUGAAGUAGCCAAUGGUGCUGCCUCCGUGACUUCGGGAUGGAGUUGUAGGGGCAGACUCAGCACCACAUUUGCCAUUUUCAUCCUCUACGUAAGAGCCAUCCGCAGAUCCUUCCUGCGUGGUUAGAGGCGCUUUCUGGCCGUUGUCCCAGGGAUUCAAAAGGUGAUCCAUCAGCAUCAAGCAGCUGUGCAGUCCUGGUUUUGAGGUCAGAUGCUCUAGGCUUCAAAACAAUGUGAGCAAACUAUACUUUUUCUUUGGAGGCUUUAUGUCCCUUUAAGACCAAAAGUUUUGGUGGAGGGGUGGGGGAUGCUCUUACUGGGAGGAGGUGUGAGAAGGGAGCAGAAGAGCAGAUCGUCUCCACAUUCUGGAAGAGUCGAGCCUGCAGAGAACAGUGUGCCAUCCUCAUCAGCUUUUGAGGUUUGUGACGAGUGAGAAGGACCCCGUGUGUCACCCUGGGUGUGACUGCCUGGUGUGCUGCUGUUGUUCCAGGUGAAGGUGGAAAGAUUCCGGCUGCCCUUAUGGGCCGGAACACUAGGAAGGCAGCCACAGGUCAAUUACCGGGAACUAUUUGCAGUCAGUGGGAACAGGUGUCAGCAGCAUGCGGGGAUUAGGAACAACAGGGUCCUGAGGGGUGAUGGUGUUACUACUGCUGCUCGGAGAUCCUCAGCCCACGGCUUCCUCACAGGUGAGGUCGGGGUGCUACAGGCACGAGUGCGGGGAGGGGGGCGGUGAAUCGCGAGGGCCUGAGGCUUCUCUAUCAUGCGCUUGACGCCCUCAAGGCUUCUUUAUUUAUAGGCUGUUGAGUAAUUCUAGGGAGGGGUUGUGAAGGAUCUAUUGGAAUCUUAUUGGGAGGUGUGCUGUGGGUUUUACCAAUAUCCCUUGGGGAUUUUUGCCCCAGAAAGAGGGUGGUCGCUGAUCCGAUAGGAAUAAAUGAUCGGUGUCCCCAGGCUCA